rnacentral:tRNA from 1 species
CCCGUGCUAUUAUAGCUCACUUAG